CCUCGUACACCACGCCGUAGCUGCCGCGCCCGAUCUCCGCCAGCAAACUGUAUCGCGGCCGCGCCGCCGCCUCCCGCCGCCUCAGCGCCGCCGCCAGGGUAAUCAGAGUCAUUAAGGAACCACUGCCAGAUGGAGAAGAUAAAGCUGAGGAACUUUUAUACCAACUUUAGCACCAAGUUCCAUGGAAAUGGAGGAAUUGACAGAAGCUUUGCUGAAAGGGGAAAAGAGAUCCAAGAUGUCAUAACCAGCAAGCCUUUUGGCAUUGGUGCUGGUGCACUGCAGACUUUUUCUACAAUGCCUCAGCUCUUCAUCCUGAAGUCUCACUCUAGCCCUGUAUUUCCCAUAUUGGAACUACCCUCUACCGCACACUGGUCCUUUUAGUAGGAUGGCUUCUCCCAGGAUCCCCAUUUAAGGAGUGCUCUCAGGCCAGCCAUGGCUCAUCCCUCUACAGACUGGACUCAGGACUGUACCAUUCCCCUAAGAUUAUUUUUGUCCCUCCCUUCCUCUCCCAAUUCCCCACCCCCUACUUUACAGCCCUUGGUGCCAGGUAUGUAAUAAGAGCUUAAUAAAUAUUUCUUUCAUUGA